rnacentral:rRNA from 1 species
AACGCUAGCUACAGGCUUAACACAUGCAAGUCGAGGGGCAGCAUUGGAGUAGCAAUACUUCAGAUGGCGACCGGCGCACGGGUGAGUAACACGUAUCCAACCUGCCGCUUACUCGGGGAUAGCCUUUCGAAAGAAAGAUUAAUACCCGAUGGUAUAAAGAGUUCGCAUGUUCUCUUUAUUAAAGAAUUUCGGUAAGCGAUGGGGAUGCGUUCCAUUAGAUAGUUGGCGGGGUAACGGCCCACCAAGUCUACGAUGGAUAGGGGUUCUGAGAGGAAGGUCCCCCACAUUGGAACUGAGACACGGUCCAAACUCCUACGGGAGGCAGCAGUGAGGAAUAUUGGUCAAUGGGCGCGAGCCUGAACCAGCCAAGUAGCGUGAAGGAUGAAGGUCCUACGGAUUGUAAACUUCUUUUAUAAGGGAAUAAAGUCACCUACGUGUAGGUGUUUGUAUGUACCUUAUGAAUAAGCAUCGGCUAACUCCGUGCCAGCAGCCGCGGUAAUACGGAGGAUGCGAGCGUUAUCUGGAUUUAUUGGGUUUAAAGGGAGCGUAGACGGGUCGUUAAGUCAGCUGUGAAAGUUUGAGGCUCAACCUUAAAAUUGCAGUUGAUACUGGCGUCCUUGAGUACGGUUGAGGCAGGCGGAAUUCGUGGUGUAGCGGUGAAAUGCAUAGAUAUCACGAAGAACUCCGAUUG